rnacentral:rRNA from 1 species
AACGCGAAGAACCUUACCAUUAAUGCAAACAACCUUACCAACCCUUGACAUGGGUUUUUCGGUUCCAGAGAUGGUUCCUUCAGUUCGGCUGGAUACCACACAGGUGCUGCAUGGCUGUCGUCAGCUCGUGUCGUGAGAUGUUCGGUUAAGUCCCGCAACGAGCGCAACCCACACUUUCAGUUGCCAUCAUUCAGUUGGGCACUCUGGAAGAACUGCCGGUGAUAAGCCGGAGGAAGGUGUGGAUGACGUCAAGUCCUCAUGGCCCUUACGGGUUGGGCUACACACGUGCUACAAUGGUGGUGACAAUGGGUUAAUCCCCCAAAGCCAUCUCAGUUCGGAUUGGGGUCUGCAACUCGACCCCAUGAAGUCGGAAUCGCUAGUAAUCGCGAUCGCAUGC